rnacentral:misc_RNA from 1 species
GAUGAAGAACGCAGCGAAAUGCGAUAAGUAAUGUGAAUUGCAGAAUUCAGUGAAUCAUCGAAUCUUUGAACGCACAUUGUGCCCGCCAGCAUUCUGGCGGGCAUGCCUGUUCGAGCGUCAUUUCAACCCUCAAGCUCUGCUUGGUGUUGGGGCCCUACGUCUGACGUAGGCCCUCAAAGACAGUGGCGGACCCUCUCGGAGCCUCCUUUGCGUAGUAACUAACGUCUCGCACUGGGAUUCGGAGGGACUCUUGCCGUAAAACCCCCAAUUUUUACAGGUUGACCUCGGAUCAGGUAGGAAUACCCGCUGAACUUAAGCAUAUCAAUAAGCGGAGGA